UACGGGGGGGGCAAGCGUUGUUCGGAAUUACUGGGCGUAAAGGGCUGGUAGGCGGCCAACUAAGUCGGAUGUGAAAUCCCCAGGCUUAACCUGGGAACUGCAUCCGAUACUGGUCGGCUUGAAUCCGGGAGAGGGAUGCAGAAUUCCAGGUGUAGCGGUGAAAUUCGUAGAUAUUGGGAAGAACACCGGUGGCGAAGGCGGCGACCUGGUCCGAUACUGACGCUGAGGCGCGAAAGCGUGGGAGCAAACAGG
rnacentral:rRNA from 1 species